UACGGAGGGUGCAAGCGUUAUCCGGAUUCACUGGGUUUAAAGGGUGCGUAGGUGGGAUUGUAAGUCAGUGGUGAAAUCUCCGUGCUUAACAUGGAAACUGCCAUUGAUACUAUGUUUCUUGAAUUUUCUGGAGGUCAGCGGAAUAUGUCAUGUAGCGGUGAAAUGCUUAGAUAUGACAUAGAACACCAAUUGCGAAGGCAGCUGACUACAGGGAUAUUGACACUGAGGCACGAAAGCGUGGGGAUCAAACAGG
rnacentral:rRNA from 1 species